GAAAGGGUCGCUCAGCCUGGCCAGAGCGACCACCAUUGCGGAAGAUGGCCACGAUGGUUCAAAUCCAUCCCCUUUCG
rnacentral:tRNA from 1 species